rnacentral:rRNA from 1 species
AGGACGAACGCUGGCGGCGUGCCUAACACAUGCAAGUCGAGCGGUAAGGCCUUUCGGGGUACACGAGCGGCGAACGGGUGAGUAACACGUGGGUGAUCUGCCCUGCACUUCGGGAUAAGCCUGGGAAACUGGGUCUAAUACCGGAUAUGACCUCCUAUCGCAUGGUGGGUGGUGGAAAGAUUUAUCGGUGCAGGAUGGGCCCGCGGCCUAUCAGCUUGUUGGUGGGUAAUGGCCUACCAAGGCGACGACGGGUA